CAAAAUUCAAUAAAAAAAAAAUUUAAUAUGUAUUAUUACCUGAAAAUUUUAAUUUGGACAUAGAUUAAUUGCAAAUUUUUAUGCAAGAUAAUUUUUGAUAAAUAUAAAGAUAAAAGCUGAUUUUUUUUUCUUCCAAAUUUUUACAAGUUAUUGUCCAUAAAUAAAUCAAGUAAAUUCAUAAAAUAAGACAUAAGAAUUUAUAAAAAAAUAUAUUAUUUUUAAUUUAGUUUCUUUAAUUUUUUUUUUUUUGUGAUCAUUAUAGUUAUAUUUUAUUUUAUUAUACAAUUAAAUGCUAAUUUAUAUACGUAAUUCAUUCUAAAUACAUCAAAAAUAAAGAAUAAUUGAUUGAGUAAUAUUUUUAAAAUCCAUUUGUAAUAGUACUGAAGAAGGUAUCAUUUUGUUAAUAUUUCUUACAAAAAAUUAUUUGUUUCAAGACUACAUAAUUUUUCUUUCCUUCAAAAAAGGGGAUAUUAUUCUCUUAUUCUCAUAUAAAUAACAAACUUAAGGUCUAAAAUAUGAAAUUAAUCAUUUUAUUUCUUUUACGUUUUAAGAAUUUUUAGUAAAUAAAAUAAACGACAAAAAUAAUUAUUGUACCAAUUCAUAUAAGUACUUGUAUUUUAAACCUAUUAUUACGUGGUGAAAUAAAUAAUUAAGUAAAAGAAAUUUUGAAGAGUACAUAUCAAAUAAAAUAAACUAAGCUUUUGGUGUAAUUAAAUUAAUCUUUAAUGAUUAAUAUUUCAUGUGUAUUUAAAAAAAAAGAAUUAGGAUAAACCUUUAGUUAAAUAAGUUUGAUAAGUUAUACAUUUAUAAAAAAAAAAAAUGAAAGUUUAAUGACAUGAUAUUUCAAGUAGAAGAGAGAAAGAUUUUGAGGUGUGAGUAUAUUUUAAGAAAAACAAGAAAAGUUGAAUGAUAUUCUUGUCCUAAAUAAAACAAAAGUGAUAUUUACAGGUAAUUUUUCAAACAUGGGUGACUAUUCAGGUAAUUUACUCAACAUCUUUAGUGGUUUUUAUUUUAGAGUCACUCAUUAUCUCUCACUUGUUUUAAAACUAUAUUCAAAGAUACUCAAAAAUCAAAGAUUUAUAACUUCAAAAAUAACAAAAUUUUAAAUAUAAGAAACAAGAAUCAUAUUACAAAUAUAGUUCAUAACAAAUGCAAAAGUCAGGAUCCACUAACCACUUGAAACUUCUGGUGGUAAAAUAUGUAUGUACUUACAAUAAAAUAUAUGUUAUGUUUAUAUUAUUAUAUUAAAGUGUGAAGAAUCUCUGAGAAGUGAUUUGAAGUUAUAAUUAUUAGCAAUAAAAUAAAUAUAAUAUUUUAACUAAAAUAAAAAAUAAAUAAUUCAAAAAUAACUCUCUCUGUUCACUUUUACUUGUUAAAUUUUGCAUCUUGAGAGUCAAACUGUAUCAUGACCUAAUCUACUUAAAUUUAGCUUCGAAAAUUAGUUAAAUUUACUCUAGUAAAACGAAGCAUGACAAAUAAAAAUAAUUAAAUAAAGAAAGUAUUUUCACUAUUAUUUUUUUGGUAAACCACAAUUAUUAGUUAUUUGUAGCAUGUAUAACUAAUAAUAUGUGAUGUAAUUGGUGCUGAAAUUAAGUAAUGAAAGUUUAGCCUUUCAGUAUUGGUACAUUAUGGAACUUAAAAUGUUUAAUGGUGUUAUCUUUCUUGCUCUACAUACAUUUACACCUCAAAUUUCUUGUGGCUAACAAAAAGUGACAAAUCCUUAAUUUAAUAUUUUCCAAUGUAUUGCCUAGUGUUAAGAUAUAAAAUAUAAUAUCUUUCAACCUAUUGCCAGUUCUAGAGGAAUAAUAUUACUUCUGAAGUUUAUCAAAAUACUAAUCUAUACAUAAGUCCUUUUGUGUCUCCAGUUGUGAUAAACCUAGCUCCCAAUUAUAGCUACUACCACUUCCUUAUGAAACUUGUUUAUCAUAGUUUGAUUGUUGAAAAUAUGGUAAAAGUUGUUAGAUAUGAAGACAAAAAUAUAAACGUAAAUAUGUUGAACAAUAUUACUUCUGAAGUUUAUCAAAAUACUAAUCUAUAGAAAGAGAAAAUUCUUUCUCUUUCGAGAAUGAACUUAAUAAGAUAUUUAUUUAUCUUAGCCUGUAUCGUAUGUAGGACUUCAAAACACUUAUCAAAUUUGAAAUUGAGUCUUCGAAUCAUGUUGAUAAAUUCAUAAGUCUCAAAUCAAAUGGUGGUGGAAUAAAUGAAGCCCUUCCACUCUUAAUCAUAUGUCGAAAAUUCUUUAUCUUCAAUCCAACAAAAGCAUUUUUUUAUACACAACAUUGAUUGAACAAAAUAAGGUAUCAAAUAUCAAUUUACCUUUAAAAAACUUUGUUCAUCGAUCAUGUUGAUAUUAUCAUCACCACUCGUCUUCAAAUACCUACAAAAUCGAUACGAAAUAAAUUAAAUAUUAUAAUCUGAUUUUCAGAAAAAAAAAAUUCUAAAUCAAACAACAAGAACAACCUAAAACCCAAAAGAAAGUAUGUUCAUCAAAAACACGUAAUAAAUAUACAUGAACUAAGAAUUCUAGAUGAAAUAAAAUUGUAAAAUAUUGCACGCGUGAAUUUUUUAAUCAACUUUUUAUUCUUUUCCAAGUUUACAUAGUAUUUUUUUAUGAUAAUCCUUAUUUAAUUUUUUUUUACCAUAUAUUUUAGGAUUCCUUAAUUAUUAUCUCCUAAUAUUUUUGCUCUAUAUUUUUUUCUUAUCAUAUAUUUUAAGACUGCUUAAUUUUUAAAAUAAAAUUUUAUGGUUUAAAUAAGGAAAAUUAUGCAAAAUUUUAUAUUGUUUACCUUUCCUGUGUUCUUUUUUUAUUUCUUUCUCAUAUGAUUUUUCUUCUUCUAAUUUAAUUAUUCUUUCUUUUCUUUUAUUUGUUUAAUUUUCAUUCUUUUGUUACUCAAAUUUUUCUUUUUCUUACAUUCUUAGUUAAUUUUAAAUUAUUAAAUUUAAAAAAUUAGUAAAAAGAUGAUUUUGUGUAAAGUAAAGACUUUUAAUGAUGGACAAAAAGUUCAAAUAACUUUU
rnacentral:lncRNA from 1 species